rnacentral:rRNA from 1 species
AAUAUAUAUAUAUAUAUAUAUAUAUUAUAAAUAUAAAUAUCUUAUAAUUUUCUUAAAUUUAUAAAAAAAAAAAUAAUAUUAAUAAUUUAAAUUUUAGUAUAAUAAAAAAAAAAUAAUUAAUUUUAUAAAAAUUUUUAAAGUAAUUGAAUUAAAUUAAAUUAAUAAAAGUUAAUUUAAAUUAUUAUACCUUUUGUAUCAGGGUUAAUCAAAUAAUUUUACAAAUUUAAACUUCUCGAAAUUAAUUGAAUUAAAUAAUUAUUAUUUAUAAUAUAAAAAUAUUAUAUUAAAUUAUUAUUUCGUAGUAAUACACUAUUCAAAUUUAAUGAUAUCUAGUUUAUUUAUAAAUAAAUUCAAUUUAUAUAUUAAAUAUUAUAAAUAAUUAAUCUUAAUUAAUUAUAAAUUUUAAUAUAAAAAAAUUAAAGGAUAAACUUUUAUUUUUUUUUAAUAUUUUUUUUUUAACUUAUAAUAUAAAUAAAAUUAAAAAUUUUUUUUUUUAAAUAAAAUGUAAUAAUUAAUUCAAAUUAAUUUUAUAAUUAUAACUAAAAAUUUAAUAAUUUAUAAAUAUAUUAUUUAAAAUUUUGAAAAAUUAUAAAUAAUGAUUAAAUCAGUAAAUUUUAACUUAUAUAUAAAUUUUAAACUAAUUUUAAAAUUAUUUUAAGGAAUUCAGCAAAUUAAAUUAUUCACCUGUUUAACAAAAACAUGUCUUCUUGAAAAAAAUAAUUUUAAGUCCAAUCUGCUCAAUGAAAUUAAAUUUUAAUAGCCGCAGUAUUUUAACUGUGCAAAGGUAGCAUAAUCAUUUGUUUUUUUAUUAAAAACUUGUAUGAAUGAUUAAAUGAAAUAAUAGCUGUCUCAAUAACAAUUUAUAUUUAAAAUUAAUAUUUUAGUAAAAACUCUAAAAUAAAUUUAAAAGACGAGAAGACCCUUUAGAAUUUAAUAAUUAUUUUAUAAUAAUUUUAACUAAAUUAUAUUUUAUAUAAAAUUAUUAUUUUAUUGGGGAAAUAAAAAAAAUUAAUUAAUUUUUUUAAAACUAAAUUAAACAUAAAUUAAUGAAAUUUUUUAUCCAUUAACUAAUGAACAUAAAUAAAAUUACCUAAGGGAUAACAGCGUUAUUUUUUUUGGAUAGCUCAUAUAGAUAAAAAAGAUUGCGACCUCGAUGUUGAAUUAAGAUUAAUAUUUAAAGAAAAUUUUAAAUUAUUUAGUCUGUUCGACUUUUAAAAUCUUACAUGAUUUGAGUUCAGAUCGGUGUAAACCAGAUCGGAUUCUAUCUUUAAUAAAAUUAUUAGUGAUUGUACGAAAGGACUUCAUAUAAUUAAAUAAUUUUUAAAAAAUGUAUUAUAUUAAAUU